UACGUAGGGUGCGAGCGUUGUCCGGAAUUAUUGGGCGUAAAGAGCUCGUAGGCGGUUUGUUGCGUCGGCUGUGAAAACCUGCGGCUUAACUGUGGGCUUGCAGUCGAUACGGGCAGACUUGAGUUCGGCAGGGGAGACUGGAAUUCCUGGUGUAGCGGUGAAAUGCGUAGAGAUCGGGAGGAACACCAGUGGCGAAGGCGGCUACCUGGACCAGCACUGACACUGAGGCACGAAAGCGUGGGGAGCAAACAGGG
rnacentral:rRNA from 1 species